rnacentral:rRNA from 1 species
GGGUUGUGAGGUUAAGCGACUAAGCGUACACGGUGGAUGCCCUGGCAGUCAGAGGCGAUGAAGGGCGUGCUAAUCUGCGAUAAGCGCCGGUAAGGUGAUAUGAACCGUUAUAACCGGCGAUACCCGAAUGGGGAAACCCAGUGUGAUUCGUCACACUAUCAUUAACUGAAUCCAUAGGUUAAUGAGGCGAACCGGGGGAACUGAAACAUCUAAGUACCCCGAGGAAAAGAAAUCAACCGAGAUUCCCCCAGUAGCGGCGAGCGAACGGGGAGGAGCCCAGAGCCUGAAUCAGCAUGUGUGUUAGUGGAAGCGUCUGGAAAGGCGCGCGAUACAGGGUGACAGCCCCGUACACAAAAGCGCAUGUGCUGUGAGCUCGAUGAGUAGGGCGGGACACGUGGUAUCCUGUCUGAAUAUGGGGGGACCAUCCUCCAAGGCUAAAUACUCCUGACUGACCGAUAGUGAACCAGUACCGUGAGGGAAAGGCGAAAAGAACCCCGGCGAGGGGAGUGAAAAAGAACCUGAAACCGUGUACGUACAAGCAGUGGGAGCACAGGUUUACCUGUGUGACUGCGUACCUUUUGUAUAAUGGGUCAGCGACUUAUAUUCUGUAGCAAGGUUAACCGAAUAGGGGAGCCGGAGGGAAACCGAGUCUUAAUUGGGCGUUAAGUUGCAGGGUAUAGACCCGAAACCCGGUGAUCUAGCCAUGGGCAGGUUGAAGGUUGGGUAACACUAACUGGAGGACCGAACCGACUAAUGUUGAAAAAUUAGCGGAUGACCUGUGGCUGGGGGUGAAAGGCCAAUCAAACCGGGAGAUAGCUGGUUCUCCCCGAAAGCUAUUUAGGUAGCGCCUCGUGAAUUCAUCUCCGGGGGUAGAGCACUGUUUCGGCUAGGGGGCCAUCCCGGCUUACCAACCCGAUGCAAACUGCGAAUACCGGAGAAUGUUAUCACGGGAGACACACGGCGGGUGCUAACGUCCGUCGUGAAGAGGGAAACAACCCAGACCGCCAGCUAAGGUCCCAAAGUCAUGGUUAAGUGGGAAACGAUGUGGGAAGGCCCAGACAGCCAGGAUGUUGGCUUAGAAGCAGCCAUCAUUUAAAGAAAGCGUAAUAGCUCACUGGUCGAGUCGGCCUGCGCGGAAGAUGUAACGGGGCUAAACCAUGCACCGAAGCUGCGGCAGCGACACUCAGGUGUUGUUGGGUAGGGGAGCGUUCUGUAAGCCUGUGAAGGUGGCCUGUGAGGGUUGCUGGAGGUAUCAGAAGUGCGAAUGCUGACAUAAGUAACGAUAAAGCGGGUGAAAAGCCCGCUCGCCGGAAGACCAAGGGUUCCUGUCCAACGUUAAUCGGGGCAGGGUGAGUCGACCCCUAAGGCGAGGCCGAAAGGCGUAGUCGAUGGGAAACGGGUUAAUAUUCCCGUACUUGGUGUUACUGCGAAGGGGGGACGGAGAAGGCUAUGUUGGCCGGGCGACGGUUGUCCCGGUUUAAGCGUGUAGG